CGAAUGGGGAGAUUCAUCGUCAGCGAUUCCGGUACGUGUGCGGCUCGCGAUGUCCGAGACUUCGGUCUCGCGGCACGCGUCCGCAUGUUUUUUAUUGCUGGAAUCGUCGGCGUGCACUUCUCCCCUAGUAGGACGUCGCGACCCGUUGGGUGUCGGUCUACGGCACGGUAGGUAGCCUGUCACGUGUGCGCUUCACGGCGUUACGCGGGGCAGACCUCCGUUCGCCCGACCGGCUGCUCGGCGGUACUCGCAAGGUAUCUGGCCGCAGACAUACGAACUGCGUCCGGCCCGUCGCAAGCGCGGCAAGUGUUUCCCGGCUGUCACGGAUCCAAUGCCGUCACCGGGCCUUGCCAGCUGUUGGUUGACGGUGUCCUAGGACUGGCUAACAAAAUUAUGAUACCGGUCGGCGACGCUACUGCUUUGGGUACUUUCAGGACCCGUCUUGAAACACGGACCAAGGAGUCUAACAUGUGCGCGAGUCAUUGGGAGCUAUUAAGCCUAAAGGCGCAAUGAAAGUGAAGAUCGGCCUUGCGCCGAUCGAGGGAGGAU
rnacentral:rRNA from 1 species